rnacentral:rRNA from 1 species
CUGUAGCGGAGUGGACCUACCUCUUCCCAUUCCGAACAGAGUCGUAAAACACUCCAGCGCCGAAGGUACUGUACCCGCGAGGUAUGGGAGAAUAGGUCGUAGCCA